CCCGAAUCAAACCCGGGACCCUUUGGUCCACAGGCUCUAUCCACUGAGCCAAACUGGCUAGAGCCAUACAGUCAAGUUUUUGAGCCUGUUAAUGGUUAGGAAAGGCACAGAAGGCAGCCAUGAUUGAAAGGGAAAACUAAGAUCUACCCACCUUAUAACUUCCUAAAGUUGUACCAUAUCAUUAGUGUAUAACUUAAUAAAAAUACAGGAUCUUAACAAGUUACAGAUGAGAAACCAAGGCUUAAGAUGAAGUGGCUACUAGUUGAUAAAUCUGGUACUAGAAGCUCUGUCUCCUGUGUCUAUCCUAAUACUCUUGAUUAUCAUGAACCUGAGUCACCAAGAUUCCGUUCAAUGCCCAUGUUUUGUUUGUUGAAACAGAAGUAAGUACAUUGCACUUUGAUAGUUUUUAUUUUUACAUUAGAAGUGUCAGCGGAGUAAAAACAUCAGUUCUUGUCUUAUAAACAAUGGCUCCCAAAUGUAGGGGAUGCUUGCUUCAGAAGUCUUUUCACUAAGAGGCUGCCUAGUUUGGAAAUGAAAGACAGGAGUAGGAAGAGAGAAUCAAGAGUUGUCCAGCAGCCCUGGCCAGUGUUGCUCACUUGGUUGAACAUUGUCCCAUGCACCGAGAGGUUCCCAAUUGGAACACAUGCCUUGGUUUCAGACUCGAUGCCCAAUGUGGGAGUCAACAGAUUGAGAUUUGUCUCUCCAUGUUUCUCUCCCUCUCCCUUAUCUCUCUCUCUCUCUCUCUCUCUCUCUCUCUCUCUCUCUCUCACACACACACACCAAACAGCUGCUCCUAAUUUUGGAAUAAGCAUAGCUUUUCAAGAUGAUUUUUUAAAAAGAAACAGUGUUCACCUGAGUAUGUAACUUCUAAUAAGUUUGUUAGUGUAAUUUCUAUAUCAGUUAUACUGCAUGAAUGCAAAUGUUAAUUAUAUCUUUGAUUAAUGUUAUUCCAAUAACUCAACCAUGGCAAGAAUCCUUGAAUUGGGUGUACCGUGCAAAGUUGAUAUCUAGUUGCAGAGGUAACACAGUUGUGAUGUGAUACGUGUGAUGUGAUGAAAUGAAAGCCAGAGGCAUUACUCUUGGGAUGUGGCCUUUUGCAGAGAAGCAGUAAAAGAAUGUUUACAGCUUUGGUAUAGGCUAUAGGAUUCUGAAAGUUUGAGAGUUAACCAUCAAGAGUUUGUCUGAAGGUGCUUUUAUGGUUUCAUUAUUGCUACUGACUUCAAAUAUGGCCAUAUUUAUUUACCAAAGUGUUUUAAUUCCUCUUUAAAUACAAAAGGACCAUUGAAAAUGUCUGGGUGGAAUUUUACAAACAGAAGGAAUUCUUCAGACAAGGCUCAAGUCCAAGCCUUAAUCCAGUCUGGCCUCAGAUACCAGUCCUUAGAUGUUCCUUUAUCAAAGUAGGUUACAAUAGGCACUUAUUCACUGUAAAUAAACUAGAGGCUAAGUGAGUGAGGGGAGUUAGAAAAUAGCAAGAUAAGCAAUCCUCCUUCAGAAAGGAUCCAGUUAUCCUGAAGCCAGCGUCUCCUGUAAUUUUGUAGCAGACUUUUUUAUGUGUCAUUCCUUGGCUUUAUCUGUGGUCAUGAAUCUCAUUACCUGCUAUCCUAUGGGACCAAGAUAAUGCAACUCUUUGGCCCCAGCGAAUUAAUACUUAUUUGUUCCCCUCGGUUUAAUUUCUUAGGACUAUGGUGCUGGUCCUAUGUAAAAGCAGAUGGUCUCAGACUAAUAAAUGUAUGGCCUCUUCAGUUGGGGAGCUCAGUAGCUUCUUUGCAAUACAGCAAAGUCAAAGAAUCUUAAUUAUAAAAUUAUCUAAAAACGUCUAAAGAUGUUUUUAAUCAUUCAAUGACUAAUGGAAAAGAUACGCCAUAUUAUUUAUAGCUGAAACACUUCUGAAAAGAUGGAAUUUGGGCGACAAAGUUUUUAGAGCAGUGACCCAACAUGUCAAAUUCCCUAAUAACAAAUUCAAAGGAGCAGUUCCUAUUUACCCAUAUUGGAACUUAAUUAUAUGUUGACACGUGGCACUGGUUUGAACAUCUUUUUGAUCUGCAAAAAUGUUUGAUUUAAUGGGAAUUCAAAUAGAAAGUAGAUCUUAACCUUUUCAUGCAUGUCUUCAUUAUGAUGAAUUAAGCCUGUUUACCAAUGAAAUAUACUGCAAGAUGGGAGAGACAUGAAUGAAAGGUUUGAUGUAACAUGUAGUCGGUUAAAUUUUUACUCUGAGAAUAUUACAUUAAUUUUAUUUUGGUCAUUAUCAUUGCUCGUGAUGGCUGACACUUUGAGCUACCAAUUAACCUGGAUUCCCAAAUACCCUUGGUCUGGUUUGUAAGUACGCCUGUAACCACAGAGCCCAGCAUUUGCUAGAGAAGAUUUACACACAAACACGAGGCUCACAUCUCAUUAAGUAUAAACAUUUUCAGGAAAAAAAAUGGUUUGUGACUUUGUUUCUUUAAAGUUUCUUUUUAUGUAGAAAAGUGAUAGGAGUCUUUAUUUGGGGAACUAGCUAUAAUUAAACAAAAUUGAAUCUUCUGCGGUGACACCACCAUCUUCCUGGCUGGUAAGAACACAUUGACUUUUCAUUUACUUCUGUUUGCAUGGUUCAUUUCCAGCUAACACAGCGUCUUUGAAAUGCUAGCAUUUGCUUUUUGUUUUCUGGUGUUUUGUCUAAGCAAACUAAACUUAUAUGGGUGCCAA